UACGUAGGGGGCAAGCGUUGUCCGGAAUUAUUGGGCGUAAAGCGCGUGUAGGCGGCCAGAUAAGUCCGCUGUGAAAUCUCGAGGCUCAACUUCGAGCUGUCGGUGGAAACUGUCUGGCUAGAGUCCGGAAGAGGAGAAUGGAAUUCCUGGUGUAGCGGUGAAAUGCGCAGAUAUCAGGAGGAACACCGGUGGCGAAGGCGGAUCUCUGGGCCUUACCUGACGCUGAGGCGCGAAAGCUAGGGGAGCGAACAGG
rnacentral:rRNA from 1 species